rnacentral:rRNA from 1 species
GGACUACAGGGGUAUCUAAUCCCGUUCGCUCCCCUGGCUUUCGCACCUGAGCGUCAGGUACUUCCCAGAAUGCUGCCUUCGCCUUUGGUGUUCCUCCGGAUAUCUACGUAUUUCACCACUCCACCCGGAAUUCCGCAUUCCUCUGAAGCCCUCAAGUCUGUCAGUUUUCGCAGGCCUCUCCCAGUUAAGCCGGGAGCUGUCAUCACGAACUUAGCAGACCGCCUGCGUGCGCUUUACGCCCAAUAAAUCCGGACAACGCUUGCCCCCUACGUAUUACCGCGGCUGCUGGCAC